rnacentral:rRNA from 1 species
GUCUAUGGCUAUACCACCCUGAACGUACCCAACCUCAUCUGAUCACAGAAACUAAAUAGGGUUGGGCCUGGUUAGUACUUGAAUGGGAGAAAUAUACUAUGGAAAGUAAAGGACCAUAAUAA